rnacentral:misc_RNA from 1 species
GAUGAAGAACGUAGCGAAAUGCGAUAAGUAAUGUGAAUUGCAGAAUUCAGUGAAUCAUCGAGUCUUUGAACGCACAUUGCGCCCCCUGGUAUUCCGGGGGGCAUGCCUGUCCGAGCGUCAUUGCUGCCCUCAAGCACGGCUUGUGUGUUGGGCCCCCGUCCCCGGUUUCCCCCGGGGACGGGCCCGAAAGGCAGCGGCGGCCCCGCGUCCGGUCCUCGAGCGUAUGGGGCUUUGUCACCCGCUCUGUAGGCCCGGCCGGCGCCAGCCGACACCCAACUUUAUUUCUAAGGUUGACCUCGGAUCAGGUAGGGAUACCCGCUGAACUUAAGCAUAUCAAUAAGCGGAGGA